GUACCUGAAACCCAGCUCUCGUGUAGGUUGCUCAGGACAACUCUCUCGGGGAACAAGAAGGGACGCAGGAUCUUCUCAGCCUUUGUCUCUCCACCCCGCAAGUCACAGACAUCUGAAGAGCAGAGGUUUCCUUCUCUGGCCUGUCCAUCUUCACCCUUUACCACGUAUCUCUCUUCCUUGGCACUUUUGUCUUCUCCCCAAAGAUCUCACACUUCUGGACAGGCAGUCCUGUGUGGAGCUGGAUCUUCAGCCUCAGGGCCUGACACCUUGCCCUUGUGUCGUCUUGUGAUGGGCAAGUCCCAGCCAUCCCAGUUGCCUCAUUUGAGCCUUCUACACAUGGCCUAACUGAGGCCCUGUAUUUCCACUUAGAGAUUUGGACACUGAGGC
rnacentral:lncRNA from 1 species